AUGCGAUCAUACCAGCACUAAAGCACCGGAUCCCAUCUGAACUCCGAAGUUAAGCGUGCUUGGGCGAGAGUAGUACUAGGAUGGGUGACCUCAUGGGAAGUCGGGCGAGAGUAGUACUAGGAUGGGUGACCUCCUGGGAAGUCCUCGUGUUGCAU
rnacentral:rRNA from 1 species